GGACCUGUCAGCCAAUCAGGAUGAAGAAUCAGACCUGGAGGUGUUCCAGCUCGAGACCAGCAAAGAGGAGGCGGGGCUAUGUGCCUUUAGAACCGUCCGCGGAACCUACUGGAACCUCACAGGCAGCGGAAGCGUACAGAGCACCGCCUCGGUCAAGUCUUCUAGCUGUUUCUUUCAUCUGGAGUGGCAGGGGUCGAAGGUCACUCUGAAGGCCAGUAAUGGGAAGUAUCUCAACGCCCGCAAGAACGGUCAACUCUCUGCAAGCGCUGACACACCAGGCGAGUCGGAGCAGUUUGUGGUGCAGCUGAUUAAUCGCCCGUUGAUCGUGUUGCGGGGGGAGCACGGCUUCAUCGGGGGGCGGAAGGCCGACUCCUCCACGCUCGACUCAAACCGCGCCUCCUACGACGUCUACCAAUUACAACACAAGGGCGGGGCCUACAGCC